CCGAAUCGUCGACACGAGUUGUUGCUGGCCCUCAAACGGGGGCAUGUGCACGCUCUGUUUGCAUCCACCCACACCUGUGCACCCUCUGUAGCUCUGCGGUCCGGGGGACCCCCCUCUUCCGUCCGCGGUUCUACGUCUUACACACACACUGUAACACGGUUUUGUGGAAUGUACGCAGCGUUUAACGCAAUACAAUA
rnacentral:misc_RNA from 1 species